rnacentral:lncRNA from 1 species
CCCGGCCUCCGCGCGCCCUCCCUCGCGGAAGGGAUUUUUUUCCCUUUCCUCUGCCCGCCAUCUUCGGAAGGGGGGAACCCGGGCGGACGCGUCGGGGGAAGGUGUGUGCGGCUGCUCCGGCCGCAGCAGUGCGCUCCGGCACCAGUUCGCCCGUGCCCGACUGGGGACCUUAGUGGCCAGGGCGGGGGGCCGGGCCUGGUCUCUGCGCGGCCGCCCAGAGGAGCGGCGGCCAGGCCUUGGGGGCGACCUCCUCUCAGAGUUGUGGGCCCGGAGUCGACUUCGCUCCCCUACCAGUUGCUGGAUUACUUUAGCCAGGCCAGGAGAAGACCGAGUUCCCGUUUUGAAAUCAGCCUGAAGAGCUCUUAAUCCGGCCCAGGUCGAGUUGGAUCGGGAGGGGUGGGGGCGCUUCCCUCCUUCCUACUUGGGGUGGGCACCGGCGUGGCAACACGGUGCAAGCCCAUCUGCGGAGUAGUGCGCACCAAACCUUCUACGUGGGCUUUGAAGGCUCCCUGUGAAUAAAGCUGGGGGCCUGGGGACGUCCUUUCUCCCCCGCUUGCGGUGUCCGGGGCAGAGCCGCAGUGAGGGCCAGGGGCAGCGCGCUUGGUUCGCCAGGACCCACUUGAAGCGGACCAGUGGUCCACCGUGAGUUCCCGCUGUUGUGCCCAAUCCCGAAGUGUGUGCGGUCCAGAAUUUUGGUUGAGAUUCUGCUCAGAAAUGCACAGUUGGUGUCCCCCGCCCCUCUAACUUAAACUUAUUGACUGCAGAAGUUUAUGGUAGUGGGGGGGGGCAUGCAUUUCUAGACCCGCCAACAGGGCUGGACGCCUGGAGAAACCUAAGCUAGGGAGUCUCCCGGGUUCUCUUUGUGCCCUGCUCUCCUCCCAGGAGGAGGUAAGUUUCCUUCCCUUGCUGUUUCAGACC